UACAGAGGUCUCAAGCGUUGUUCGGAUUCAUUGGGCGUAAAGGGUGCGUAGGUGGCGCGGUAAGUCGGGUGUGAAAUCUCGGAGCUUAACUCCGAAAUUGCAUUCGAUACUGCCGCGCUUGAGGACUGGAGAGGAGACUGGAAUUUACGGUGUAGCAGUGAAAUGCGUAGAGAUCGUAAGGAAGACCAGUGGCGAAGGCGGGUCUCUGGACAGUUCCUGACACUGAGGCACGAAGGCCAGGGGAGCAAACGGG
rnacentral:rRNA from 1 species